GACGAACCGUGCAAACGUUGUUCGGAAUCACUGGGCUUAAAGGGCGCGUAGGCGGCUCAUUAAGUCGGGGGUGAAAUACUUCAGCUUAACUGGAGAAGUGCCUUCGAUACUGGUGGGCUUGAGGGAGGUAGGGGUCUUUGGAACUUCUGGUGGAGCGGUGAAAUGCGUUGAUAUCAGAAGGAACGCCGGUGGCGAAAGCGAAGGACUGGACCUCUUCUGACGCUGAGGCGCGAAAGCUAGGGGAGCAAACGGG
rnacentral:rRNA from 1 species